UACGAAGGGGGCUAGCGUUGCUCGGAAUCACUGGGCGUAAAGCGCACGUAGGCGGCUUACUAAGUCAGGGGUGAAAUCCUGGAGCUCAACUCCAGAACUGCCUUUGAUACUGGUGAGCUUGAGUCCGGAAGAGGUGAGUGGAACUGCGAGUGUAGAGGUGAAAUUCGUAGAUAUUCGCAAGAACACCAAUGGCGAAGGCAGCUCGCUGGGACGUUACUGACGCUGAGACGCGAAAGCGUGGGGAGCAAACAGG
rnacentral:rRNA from 1 species